rnacentral:lncRNA from 1 species
UAGAAACACAUGCCGUGGUGGUGAAUACCGGGAGAUUACUGCUCCUUCAUAUGCUGUCCUUGGUACACCAUCCUGCACGUGGGAGAAAGCAUCAUAUCUUUUGUGCGAGUAAGAGAGAAAGAGAGUAUCCAACUCUAGAAUCAUUAAUACAAGCAAGGACAAUGCGUAAGGGAGCCGUUAUAAGCCCUCUACCAUGAGCAUGGCCGUGAAUAAUCAGUUAUAAAUUUACAUACUAUAUUAUACAUGCAAAACUUGCAAAGUAACUGCACAAGACUGAAGUGACCACACAUCAGAGUAUACGUGUU